rnacentral:rRNA from 1 species
UACGUAGGGUGCGAGCGUUGUCCGGAAUUAUUGGGCGUAAAGAGCUUGUAGGCGGUUUGUCGCGUCUGCCGUGAAAAUCCGGGGCUCAACCCCGGACUUGCGGUGGGUACGGGCAGACUAGAGUGUGGUAGGGGAGACUGGAAUUCCUGGUGUAGCGGUGAAAUGCGCAGAUAUCAGGAGGAACACCGAUGGCGAAGGCAGGUCUCUGGGCCACUACUGACGCUGAGAAGCGAAAGUAUGGGGAGCGAACAGG